UGCAAUGGAACGAAGAAGAAUAUAUAUAUAUUAUUUAAUAUAAUUUUUCCAUAUUUCUGCAAAUUCUCUCAACCGCGACUAUCUUAACAAUUUUACGCCGCGAGGCGGCGAGAUUCGAACAAGCGGGAAUAUUUCUCCAUGAAGGAAUAUGUAUAUAUAGGAAUAUAUAUAUAUAUAUAGGAUAUGAAAUAACGGAGAGAAUACGACUGUGCGACUCGUGCGACAUCUAUCUACCUAUAGACGCGAAGCUAUGCGCGCUCGUUCCGUCGUCCACGUAGAAAUAACUCCUCUCUAUCUUCCUCCUUCGAAGAAUCUCGGUCAGAAUCCCGACAAAGGUUCGCCGUAAAUGCUCUUCAAAUUUUAAUAUCCCCGGUUGAAUAGCGUUUCAACCGUCGGCAAUAUUAUUCCGAUCGGCAAGAUUUGCCCGUUAAAGGGGCAAAUGCGCGCGCGUGUAUUCUCCGUGUACGUGUUUUCCAGCCUCUCCCCCCUUCCUUUCCCUUUUCGAACGAAUCGAAUAAUUCCCGGGCAAAGCGGCUCGCCUAUACGAACGCGUAUACAGAAACGAAUACGUGCAUACAAACGACUUUGGCAUAGACUUCGGGAGUAGAAAAUAUUUUCACCAAACUACUAGAAAACUAUCUUCUUCGAUGUUUUGAAAAAUAGCUCGCGUUGUAUCGUAUCCUGUGUAUCCGAAACGCCUGUUUACUCGCGAUAUUGGCUUCGCUGGCAUCCAUCGGCUCGACGCGUUUCAAUAUCGAUCGAUUCGUAUCCAACAGUUGGCCGCUAAUUUCGCUCGGCUAAUUUUAAUUUGUUGUAAAAUUAAUUCUCGAAAA